GACGAACGCUGGCGGCGUGCUUAACACAUGCAAGUGGAGCGACGAACCAGGGCUUGCCCUGGGGCAGAGCCGCGAACGGGUGAGUAACACGUGGGUAACGUGCCCCGAUGACUGGGACAACCCGGGGAAACCCGGGCUAAUACCGGAUGUGCCCCCUCACAUCAGUGAGGUGUGUAAAGGAAGCUUCGGCCUCCGCAUCGGGAUCGGCCCGCGGCCCAUUAGCUUGUUGGUGAGGUAACGGCUCACCAAGGCUGCGAUGGGUAGCUGGUCUGAGAGGACGAUCAGCCACACUGGGACUGAGACACGGCCCAGACUCCUACGGGAGGCAGCAGUGGGGAAUCUUGCGCAAUGCGCGAAAGCGUGACACAGCAACGCCGCGUGGGGGAAGACGGCCUUCGGGUUGUAAACCCCUUUCAGUUGGGACGAAGGUCGGGCGGUUAACAGCCGUUCCGGCUGACGGUACCUUCACAAGAAGCCCCGGCUAACUACGUG
rnacentral:rRNA from 1 species